GGAAGUUUGUAGUCCUGGCGUCAGGAUGAACGCUGGCGGCGUGCUUAACACAUGCAAGUCGAACGGAGUACCCCUGAAGGAGUUUUCGGACAACUGAUGGGACGUACUUAGUGGCGGACGGGUGAGUAACGCGUGAGUAACCUGCCUUGGAUGGGGAAGUAACAGCUGGAAACAGCUGCUAAUACCGCAUAAUAUGUCUGUGUCGCAUGGCACUGGACAUCAAAGAUUUAUCGCUCUGAGAUGGACUCGCGUCUGAUUAGCUAGUUGCGGGGUAACGGCCCACCAAGGCGACGAUCAGUAGCCGGACUGAGAGGUUGGCCGGCCACAUUGGGACUGAGACACGGCCCAGACUCCUACGGGAGGUAGCAGUGGGGAAUAUUGGGCAAUGGGCGCAAGCCUGACCCAGCAACGCCGCGUGAAGGAAGAAGGCUUUCGGGUUGUAAACUUCUUUUCUCAGGGACGAAGCAAGUGACGGUACCUGAGGAAUAAGCCACGGCUAACUACGUG
rnacentral:rRNA from 1 species